UAAUGGACUAAUAUUUAUUUCCUGGUUUUGAAGGAAAGAGGCAGAAAAGGAAAUACUGAAGAAUCCAGGGAUAAUGAAUGAGUUACUGUAUUUUAAACUGCAUUCAGAAAAAUUAAGCUCUUUGCACUAUUCCUGGAACUUCACUGUAAAUUUGAAAUCCUUAUUUUUCAAGAAGUAAACCUGAUUGUGUAUGGAGAAUGAAUUGGAAGGGGGCAAUAGGGAAAGUUGAGACAAGUUAGAUGCUAUUUUUGAUGUCCAGAUAACAUUGGACCAACUGUUUGUACAAGAACAGGUAAAUUCCAUAGUAGAUUUGUGUGAUAGAGUUAUCCAUAUUCAUUAAUGAAUUGGAAAUGAGUGAUAACAUUAAAGAUAAUUUUUUGUUUCUGUCUUGAGCAAAUGAGUGAAUGUUAGCCACUUAUUGUAGUGGGGAAGGCUGAGGAGACAAGUUUGGAAGGAAAUUUGAAAAGUUCUGUUUUAGACAUGUUAUAGUUGAGAAGCCUAUCAGACAUCCAAGUAGAGAAAUUAUUGAACAGGUGGUUAUUAUUGGUCUGGAACUUAGAGUAGGAGUCUGGGGUAGAGAGAUAAAUUUUGGAGUCAUUAGCAUAUAAAGCCAUUGAAAGUGGUAAUAUCUCCUGGAGAAAGGGAAUAGACAUUAAAGAGAGACUGUAAUUAAAUCCUAAUGCUCUUCAAUGUUUGUAGAUUAGUUAUAAGAGGAAGAACAUCUAAGGAGACUCAUUAUGAUAGAACAAUUAAACUACUCAUUCAUCUCAGAGUUCUAAAAUGGAAUGAAGGCAGAACCUGCAUAUUUAGCCAAGAGGAAGGCAUUCCAAUGGGUGAGGUUUGUCAGCCUUGGUAUCUAUUUUAAUUUUCCCUGAGGCUAAGUGAGCUGACCAUUCCUUUCUCAGUCCAGCAUCAUCCAUUGCAGUAGUGACUGGGCUUUAAAUCUGGUUUUAAAUUUGCACAAGCAAUAAGCUUACUCCUCAAAGAGCUUUGUGAAUUAUGUUUCUCCUGGGACUCAUUAGAUACUUCCCUGGGUUAACAAACAGUAAGAAACAUAAGGCUUCGAGAGAGCCACACAACUGUACACGUUUGAAAUUCUUGUCAAGGAAGUGGCGAUAACAUGUUGAAUCCAUUCAAGAGUAAAUGGUGACCUCAGUGA